rnacentral:rRNA from 1 species
CUGGCUCAGGAUGAACGCUAGCUACAGGCUUAACACAUGCAAGUCGAGGGGCAGCAUUGGGAUAGCUUGCUAUUCAGAUGGCGACCGGCGCACGGGUGAGUAACGCGUAUCCAACCUUCCUGCCAGUAGGGAACAGCCCGGCGAAAGUCGGGUUAAUGCCCUAUGUUCUUCAAUGCGGACAUCUAAGUUGAAGGAAAGAUUCAUCGCUGGCAGAUGGGGAUGCGUCCGAUUAGCUUGCCGGCGGGGUAACGGCCCACCGGGGCGACGAUCGGUAGGGGUUCUGAGAGGAAGGUCCCCCACACUGGUACUGAGACACGGACCAGACUCCUACGGGAGGCAGCAGUGAGGAAUAUUGGUCAAUGGGCGUAAGCCUGAACCAGCCAAGUAGCGUGCAGGAUGACGGCCCUACGGGUUGUAAACUGCUUCUAUGCGGGGAUAAAGUGCGGCACGUGUGCCGCUUUGCAGGUACCGCAUGAAUAAGGACCGGCUAAUUCCGUGCCAGCCGCUGC